GACGGAGGGAGCGAGCGUUCUUCGGAAUCAUUGGGCGUAAAGAGCGUGUAGGCGGCCGGUUAAGUCAGGUGUGAAAGCCCGGGGCUCAACCUCGGAAGUGCACUUGAAACUGGUCGGCUUGAGUUCGGGAGAGGGAAGCGGAAUUCCUGGUGUAGAGGUGAAAUUCGUAGAUAUCAGGAGGAACACCGGUGGCGAAGGCGGCUUCCGGGACCGAAACUGACGCUGAGACGCGAAAGCGUGGGGAGCAAACAGG
rnacentral:rRNA from 1 species